CUAUGUUCCAUGUCUCCAUAUAUGACGCGAUCAUCGCAAUUGAAAACAUUUCAAGAGGUCCCUGCGUGCGUGUGCAUAUGGAACGCGACAGUGCCGAUGACCACUCUGAGAUACAUUUAUCUGCAUACUAAAUACGUAUCCAAUUAAUUAAUAGCUAAGCAUCGUAAUGCCACACACGUUUGUAAACAGAUUAAACCAUAUGGGCUACUCAAAGUGACAGAAUAGCAGAUACAGUAUUUUGCCUUUAAAACAAACACGCGCUUGUUAAUUAAAAAGAACAGAACUUUAUCUCAAUGAUUGUGUUAUAAUGUAAUUAAAUAAAUUGGAUAUUCUAAUUAAACAGUUGGAUAUAUAUUUAUGGAAGUCUGCAUUCUGUGUAGAAUGUGACGGAACGAAUGAUUAUAAUAUACAAAUGGAAAAUGAGAAAAAUUAUUUCACGCAAUAUAGUUCAAAAAAUCGAAUGAUUUAAAAGUUAAAAUAACGUGAAUUAAAGUCAUAUUCUUUACUGACAUUCCAAUAUAGCAAUGUUGAAUUGAUGACGAAGAUAUGUACAUAUUUAGUUCACGAAUAAUCUUUCCUGCACAAAUAUUUGCUCCUACGAGGGGUUUACUAUGAUUGAAUGCAUUAUCAGAGGCAAAUGUUUGAUAGCUACUUACAAUGAUACAUCAGUAUAAUUACAGCAUGUAAUGUAAUGUAAUGUAAUAUAAUUAAGUAACAUAAGUUAACAUGAUCAUUUUAAGAUUAUAAAAUUAUAAAAUUUUUAAAAACUUUAUUUUUUCAGGUACAUUUUCUUAUCAUAAAAAUUUAUUAAUUAACAUUACUUGAUGUAAUAACAUGGAUAUGUACACAUUAUAGCAUUAAUUAUAACAUCACGUAUGUGUAAAUUCUUUUAAAUUUCUUAAUCUUAUCUCAAAAAGAAGGUCGAGAGUAAAUGUUCAGGUUGAUUUCUUCACAGUAGAAUAAACAUACACCUUGCGCAUUCCGUAUACACCCGAUAGGAGAAUGCACCCUUAAUCGCCUUUGUGUUCAUUUUCUCUGUAACCUAAGGUGAACGUCUUUGUGCCCCCCUCCAGAAGGCACACGCCAAAGAUAUAUCUCAAUGAAUGGAUCCCCCCAUACCUCAAGCAUACCUCAAGCUGCUCUACAACCGUGAUUUCAAUACAACCUGCUUCUUUCUACGUUUGUAUAUGACGUCAUAGUUCUUACAAACGCACACGUCUUCGAGACAGCGUGCUCAAGCAAUUGCAGUCAAAAUUCCAAAAGCAAAACUAGGAGAGGUAUCUAAGCCUAUGUGCACACUCCUGCCCUUUCCGUAAUCGCAGUACAGGCCAUGCCACGAAGCCACGGUGGUCUUUCCUCUGGACUUUUUUGUGCUGGUGCAUUGUCGGAAUCAAGUUGCAGCUGCCUGCAGAAGAACCCCAUACGCGCCCCCAUAAGAGAGCCACGUCAUACCACCUGGCCCUAUCUGCAUGUGUGUACACGAGGGGGUCGUGCACCCCCCUUGGAACUUUAGGUACACCGGGCUCCAUCCUUCGUAUGUAUUCGUGCUCACACGUGGCACAUACUAUAGGCCACAGACAUGUCGUCUUUUCUGUCUGUCGUCGGGUCGUUCGUGCACGAGCUGCAAUGGCACGUGUGCAUUUUCACACACCAGAACACCGAAUACGCAUGAAUGUGUAAAGGGACCAGAUUUUUACGCUCGAAGGAAAUUAAGAAAAUUACGACCAUCCUUGUAUAUGCGGAUGAAAAAAGAUGAAGAAAUUCCUCGCCUAUCCUGUAAAAUAAAAUCGAAUUUUCUUCCAUGCGGAUCCUAGUCACACAGCUUUAGUCGUUUAGAUUAAAAGUUACACGUAAUCAAGCAACUUUCCUUCUUUCUCGAUCCACGGUGAUCAAAUAUAAUUAUCGCGACAUCAAACACAUACGAUAGUUUACCGAAUCCUGGUUUGCAGAGGGUGUCGUAUGACACGAUAAGAUAAAGACAUUGUACGAGUUCAUAUAUAACAAUGGAAAAUAGAUUCAUGACACUUUGCAUUAUAAUUGAUAAAUAUACCACCACUUGCGCAGUUUUUUUUUCUACUUUUGGUUUUUAAAAUAUAAUGAAGACUUGAAAAUGGGAUGAUUACAUAUCAUAAAACAAAUAAAGAUAAUAUAAUUUUAGGAUAUUAAUUCUCGUUUUUGAGAUAAAUAAUUUUUAAUGAAGUAAUGAAAUCAUUAAUAUAGAAAAAUUUUGUUGAAACGUGAGAAAGAAUUGCAGAACUACUUCGAUUAGCCGAUCUAUUUGAAUUGUUCUACGAUGAGGGGAGAACGCGUGCCUCGCCACGUGCUACCUGAUCUUAUCUAUGAAAAUACAUGAAAAUAAGCUAUGCAUAGCUCACCAUAUCAGCACGAGAUGGUGACCAUAAGUGCAUGGGGAAUGUAUUUGGCUAACCUGGUUUCGUAGAAUGCUUGAAGAUCACACUUAAAAUAUUCCUGAACGCAUACGGGUGAAAACGCGAAGAUACUUCUAUAAUGAUUCGUUUUUUCAAAGAUCUCAAAGUACCCAUAUUGCCUAUACGAAGAUGCAGAGAUACGGGUCCGAUAUAUAGGACGUUUGUCACGCAAAAGAUCUCGAAAACGAAUCCAAUUGUAAAGUUAUUUCUUUUUUCAAUCGAAUUCCAACGGAUCCUUUUCAUAAAGGUUUGACUACCAGCAUCGUUUUUUGAAGAAAUUUUUCAAGAUAUAAUAGCGUGAAGGCAAUGACAGAAUGCAUUGAGCAACAAGAGCGUAUUCGGUAAUUGGAAAUACGGUAUUAGGGUGUCACAGAAUCCUUAGCAGACUGUCAUUCAUGUGUCACUCGCGUAAAAGAAGAGGAGAAAACGAGUGCCUCUGUUCUUGCACCCUUCGUUUGCGUAACUGUGCGUAACAACGAACACAAUAGGGCUUAGAAGUCAUUGAUCAUCUAAAAAGUGAUGCGUACGCGACAUUACCAAGUUCCUAUUCAAAAAUUUCUAUUGUAGAAUUCGAAUGUUGUGAAACAGUGAAUUCACAUCACUUUAAUAAACGAUCAUUAUUUGAUUCUAAUGUGAACGAUGGCUAUGUCGAAAUUUUAAUUUCAAAAUUUUUUGAAAUUUUAGAUAAUACAUUAGUGCAAUGAACUACAUGCGUACUUCGGUAUCUUAAAGAAACAAACGCGAUUUUUAUUUUGAAAAACAUUCUUGUAAACAUCGAUUUGCGGUUACACAGUAGACGCAUAUCGAAGAUCACCGUCCUAUAUACUAGGGACUUUUUAAUCUAGGAUCUAGGCAGCAACGUGUGGCAUGCACGAGACACGCUCACGUCCAUGCUAUAAAUGUUACACCGUGUCGCUGGUAAAUGAUUGCCAGAAAAUUGCCGUUUCCGAUAGGGCCGUCCCCUGAAAGCGGAGUUCCCUGGAUCGUUAUGGAUCAUUUUCCUUUUCUUAUCGUCGCCUGCCUUUAUAUAAAAAUCUACCUUUUUUUUCUUCCAGAAAAUCGAUACUCCGUUGGUAAGUACUUACUUUCAAAGUUCUACCUAAUAAUUAUGAAAUAGCUACUUAACGUGUCAUUUCUUUGGAUUCUUAAAUCUCAUUAAAUUAAAAAUAUUUAAAUUUUUUCUCACAAUUGUUCAUUCCUUUAGAAAUUUAUUUUUAAAAUUUAUUUUUUUAUGAAAAGAUUUUUAAUAACUGUCGUUUUAUUUAAUAUUUUUUUUUAUCGAUUUUUAUACUUUAAAAAUUUGAUUACUUUGAAAAUUGUAAUGAAAUCAAAAAAAUGAAUAAAUACGAAUGUUUCGCGAGAUUGAAAGCAGAAAUGAAUUGGGUUCAGAUUCGUUUAAAGUUUCGUUUAAUCAGAGUCGCGGAUCUCCUUAUAAAAAUUUUAUUCGAGCCACGUGGAAGUUUAUAGGUGGUUUAUGCCUUCGUUGAUUGCAUGCUCGACUAACCCAACAGCGACAGUUUUACGGUACUUUAUACUUGGCGUGAAGUUAUCGCUAAUUGCUUAUAAUAAUGCAACGCUUGGUACAGUUUUAUAUUUAUCAUAUUCUAAAUGCCUCACGAGAUUUCUAACUUUUUGUUUU